AAAUGCGAUAAGUAAUGUGAAUUGCAGAAUUCAGUGAAUCAUCGAAUCUUUGAACGCACAUUGUGCCCGCCAGUAUUCUGGCGGGCAUGCCUGUUCGAGCGUCAUUUCAACCAUCAAGCCCCCGGCUUGUGUUGGGGACCUGCGGCUGCCCGCAGGCCCUGAAAAACAGUGGCGGGCUCGCUGUCACACCGAGCGUAGUAGCAUACAUUCUCGCUCAGGGCGUGCUGCGGGUUCCGGCCGUUAAACGACCUUCAUAACCCAAGGUUGACCUCGGAUCAGGUAGGAAGACCCGCUGAACUUAAGC
rnacentral:misc_RNA from 1 species